AUGCAGAGUGGCCUGGGAGGUGGGGUGCUAUGCGCCAUCACCCCAUUGAAUAGAUGGAGAGAGCCAGGCGCCGAAUGGGUCACAUUGCGAGUUGGGGACCAAGAAGAUUACUGCGGGAUGUCAGAAAUGGGCAGAAAUACUGUGCUGUCAGACCCUGGAGGAAUCCAGAAAAUUCUUAAGCCAGAGAAGACUUCGGGAGACCAUAGCGCCCACCCCCAUUUCACAGACGCGGCCACUGAGGCCCAGAAAAGAGAAGACACUUUGUUCAAGGCCACGCCCUAGGAACUAGAACCCAGAUCCUGAUCUGCCUUCACUCUGCCCCGGCUGUCUGCCCCACGCCAUCCCUGGGCCUUGGGGUGGGGUCCCCAUACUCACACAAGCCAUGACUGAGGAGACAAGGAUGUUCCUACAACUGCAGCACCAGCUGUCCGAAGACUCUACCGGAGAGAAGGGCCGCCGGCCUCUCCCACCCUUUUAACUGGACCAGACCCCGGUGAGUCCCGCCCCCUGGGGGCUCAGCCAAUUGUAAGUCAGGACAGGGAUGGGGGCCACGGGGAGGUGGAGUCAAUGGAAUUUUGAAGCCUGUUCUGGAGCAGAGGUGACCAAUCAGAGUGGAGACCCCCCCCCAAUUCCUUCCUAGCCACUCCCCCAGGAUCAAGACUCCACCUCCCAUUUUGCUUCAGCCUUCCCUACCCGCACCCCCGCCAAAUUGUGCUGUGGCAGGGAUUGGGGGAAACCAGUGGAAAAUAGUUUGAGGAUGAGCUAGACCCAAGCGUUGGUGGGAAGAGAGCCAGGGGCAGCUGCCUGAGUUCAGGGGGUACUAAGAGAAGGUGGCUGAGGGGGUGCAGGGUCCUUCAAAGAAUUAGUUCUGGGGUUUGCAAGGCUGCUCCCUGGAAGGAGCCAGGGCGUGGCCGGCUGUUGAGGGGGGCAAUCUCUGCGGAGGGCCCAGAACCAUUAACCACAGAGCCCCGGCCCCGCCCGGGCCUCCCCCGGAAGCAGGGAUUACUGCUGCUGCUCGUGCUCCUCACAAGGGCUAAAGAAAGACUGGGCUGGUGCCAGGGCUGAGGCUGCCGCCCAGGCUCAGGGCUCAGACCUCAGGCUUGGAGCCUCCCGAGGGGCCUGCAGGGGAUCCUCCAGGGGCCUCCGCCUGACAGCUUCUGGCCUCUAAGA
rnacentral:lncRNA from 1 species